rnacentral:rRNA from 1 species
CCUACGGGUGGCAGCAGUGAGGAAUAUUGGUCAAUGGCCGCAAGCCUGAACCAGCCAAGUCGCGUGAGGGACGACUGCCCUACGGGUUGUAAACUUCUUUUAUAAAGGAAUAAAGUAUGGCACGUGUGCCUUUUUGUAUGUACUUUAUGAAUAAGCAUCGGCUAACUCCGUGCCAGCAGCCGCGGUAAUACGGAGGAUUCGAGCGUUAUCCGGAUUUAUUGGGUUUAAAGGGAGCGUAGGUGGGUUUUUAAGUCAGUUGUGAAAGUGUGCGGCUCAACCGUAAAAUUGCAAUUGAUACUGGCAGCCUUGAGUACAGUUGAGGUAGGCGGAAUAAGUGGUGUAGCGGUGAAAUGCUUAGAUAUCACGAAGAACUCCGAUUGCGAAGGCAGCCUACUAGACUGCCACUGACAUUGAUGCUCGAGAGUGUGGGUAUCAAACAGGAUUAGAUACCCGAGUAGUC